CAGUAGCCGCGGUAAAACGGAGGGUGCAAGCGUUAUCCGGAUUUAUUGGGUUUAAAGGGUCCGUAGGCGGAUCUGUAAGUCAGUGGUGAAAUCUCACAGCUUAACUGUGAAACUGCCAUUGAUACUGCAGGUCUUGAGUAAAUUUGAAGUGGCUGGAAUAAGUAGUGUAGCGGUGAAAUGCAUAGAUAUUACUUAGAACACCAAUUGCGAAGGCAGGUCACUAAGAUUUAACUGACGCUGAUGGACGAAAGCGUGGGGAGCGAACAGGAUUAGAUACCCCUGUAGUCCCUGUCUCUUAUAC
rnacentral:rRNA from 1 species